CUGACGCUUCCCGGCGAUGGCGGCGGCGGUGGAUGUGGAUGCAGUGGAUGGAUGGAUGAUAUGUUGUGUAGUAGUAGUAGUGUUCUAGGAUGCCUAGGUGUUGCGUUGAUCUCUAGUAGGAUCUGAAUUAGAUGCUUAAUUGUGCUUGUACCGAUGCUAAAACUAAGAAGGUGCACUUGUGUAUGAUGGACAGGGGGAUUAGUUGCUCUGUAAUUCGUUACCUGUGUUCUAUAUAAAAGUAUCAUCCUUUCGAUGAUUUUCUUG
rnacentral:sRNA from 1 species